GAUGAACGCUAGCGGCAGGCUUAACACAUGCAAGUCGAGGGGCAGCGUGAGACGGAGAUUCGUCGAAGUCUUGAUGGCGACCGGCGCAAGGGUGCGUAACGCGUGAGCAACUUGCCCGUUUCUGGGGAAUAACCGGUGGAAACGCCGACUAAUACCCCAUGGCAUUGAUUGGAGGCAUCUCCGAUCAAUUAAAGAAUUUCGGAAACGGAUAGGCUCGCGUGACAUUAGCUAGAUGGCGGGGUAACGGCCCACCAUGGCGACGAUGUCUAGGGGUUCUGAGAGGAAGGUCCCCCACACUGGAACUGAGACACGGUCCAGACUCCUACGGGAGGCAGCAGUGAGGAAUAUUGGUCAAUGGUCGAGAGACUGAACCAGCCAUGCCGCGUGAAGGUGACGGCCCUAUGGGUCUUAAACUUCUUUUGUAAGGGAGCAAUAAGGUGCACGUGUGCAUCGAUGAGAGUACCUUACGAAUAAGCAUCGGCUAACUCCGUG
rnacentral:rRNA from 1 species